UUAAAAGAGAAGGAGAAACAGAGAAGGGAGAAGGGGGAGCUCGAGGGAGAAGAGGGGAAGAGAGGAGGGGACGACGCGGCUAGGUCCUUACCGCCAUCGCCGUUGUCGUUGAGGCGCCGGAGGAGAGAGAGAUUUGCUUUGCAGAGGUGUUGAGGGAGACAGACGCGACGCGAGGAAGAGGAGCUCGUCUUCGUUGCCGCCGUCGCCGCGCCUUGCCGCCGCUGCCGUUGAUGGAAGCCGCCACCGUCGUUGGGUGGAACCAAACAGGGAGAGGAGGUCGCCGUUGAUGCUACGGCAAAAAGGAAGGAAGCAACGCGUGUGAGGAAGUGACGCACAGAGGAGGAGUUGUUCCUCUGCCGCCGCUGGAAUUCCUGGUCGCUGCCGGAAUUCAUGUUGAAGGUUGUCACCAGAGAAGACAAGUUGUUGCGCCAUCAUUUUCAACUAACCCUGCAGCUGUGUCAUGAACUGCUUCUCCAACCUCUCAUCCUACACUGCCGCCAUCCUCGCUCGCUUCCUAUCCAGCCGCCGUUCCCUCUGCAACUUCCCCAUUAAGCUAACUCUUCCUCCUACUCUCUCUCCCCGCUCUCAAUUCGUGCUCUCAAUCCACAGAGACAACCUUAGCAUUGAUUCAAUGCUUCCCUUUUAAUAUUAUUCCAUGAAUAAUACCCAAAUAACUAAUUACUUACUAAUUAUCCAAUUAUUAGAUUCGCUUAAAAUAUGAAUUGCGUUGAAUAUAUAAAUGAUUGGUGUGUAGCUUAUAAACGUAAAUGGAUAUUUUUUGGUAGAGGGUUGUUUCUUUUCAGAGGUUGAUGAAAUUGAAUUGUUUUCAGGUUGAUUUUGACAUGCAUAUGCCCAUGUUGCCUUUGUGUGACCCUCAUAGUUGAGUUUGCUCUGGCUUUGAUCAAGACUCCAUUUUCGGUCAUGGAGUGGUUCACCUCUAAGAUUCCAUGUUAGAGAUAUUUGUAUCAUAUGAAGUCUUUGAAGUAGUGGUGAAUAUGAUAGUAAUCCACCGUAUAUUCUUUUGUUAAUUCGUGUAUUCAAUUUCUUUGAUUAUGGUUUGAUGAAUAUAUAUAGUGCUCAUCAUGAAACAACUCUUGGUUGUAAAAUCCUGUAUGCCAAAAUCUGAAUUUGAAAGUAGGGUUCUUGUU